UGACGGUACCGUAAGAAUAAGGACCGGCUAACUCCGUGCCAGCAGCCGCGGUAAUACGGAGGGUCCGAGCGUUAUCCGGAAUCAUUGGGUUUAAAGGGUCCGUAGGCGGGCCUGUAAGUCAGGGGUGAAAGUUUGUGGCUCAACCAUAAAAUUGCCUUUGAUACUGCAGGUCUUGAGUCAUGGUGGGGUUGCCGGAACAUGUGGUGUAGCGGUGAAAUGCAUAGAUAUCACAUAGAACACCGAUCGCGAAGGCAGGUGACCAACCAUGUACUGACGCUGAUGGACGAAAGCGUGGGUAGCGAACGGGAUUAGAUACCCCGGUAGUCCACGCCGUAAACGAUGGAUACUAGCUGUGGGGACUUCGGUCUCCGUGGCCAAGCGAAAGUGAUAAGUAUCCCACCUGGGGAGUACGUUCGCAAGAAUGAAACUCAAAGGAAUUGACGGGGGCCCGCACAAGCGGUGGAGCAUGUGGUUUAAUUCGAUGAUACGCGAGGAACCUUACCAGGGCUUAAAUGUAGAACGACCGAGGUGGAAACAUCUCUUUUUUCGAACGGUCUACAAGGUGCUGCAUGGUUGUCGUCAGCUCGUGCUGUGAAGUGUCGGGUUAAGUCCCAUAACGAGCGCAACCCCUAUUUCUAGUUGCCAGCGGUUCGGCCGGGGACUCUAGAGAAACUGCCGGCGUAAGCCGAGAGGAAGGUGGGGAUGACGUCAAAUCAUCACGGCCCUUACGUCCUGGGCUACACACGUGCUACAAUGGCCGGUACAGAGGGAAGCCACCCCGCAAGGGGGCGCGGAUCUACAAAACCGGUCACAGUUCGGAUCGGGGUCUGCAACUCGACCCCGUGAAGCUGGAAUCGCUAGUAAUCGCAUAUCAGCCAUGAUGCGGUGAAUACGUUCCCGGGCCUUGUACACACCGCC
rnacentral:rRNA from 12 species